rfam:Nocardiopsis alba ATCC BAA-2165, complete genome.
CCCGUCCGGGUCCGUGGUUGCGCCGGACAUUCGAAGCCUCCGGGAACACCGGAGGACUUCGCCGGCAAGCCGAUGCCAGGCGCAGGCGAAACGGCCCACGUAAGGCGACUUUUCGUCGACCGAUCACGGUGCGCCUUAGAGGUAAGUCCUGCCCCACUGAGGGUCCCGAUGUCCCUCAUGACAGGGAGAAGAGCAGUAGUCGCGUUCAAGAGCGGCGACACUCUCAGCAGGCGGAUGUGGGGACGAAGACCAGGUCGGCCGGACGGG